UACGGGGGGGGGCAAGCGUUGUUCGGAAUUACUGGGCGUAAAGGGCUCGUAGGUGGCCAACUAAGUCAGACGUGAAAUCCCCCGGCUUAACCGGGGAACUGCGUCUGAUACUGGAUGGCUAGAGUGUGGGAGAGGGAUGCGGAAUUCCAGGUGUAGCGGUGAAAUGCGUAGAUAUCUGGAGGAACACCGGUGGCGAAGGCGGCUCUCUGGGACGGUACUGACGGCUGAGACGCGAAAGCGUGGGGAGCAAAACAGG
rnacentral:rRNA from 1 species